UCUCAAGGAUGAGCAAAGAAAGUGGUUUCUUAAGAUGGAAUCUACUUCUGAUGAAGGUCCUGUGAA
rnacentral:pre_miRNA from 1 species